rnacentral:lncRNA from 1 species
CAUCUCCUCACCCAGCUGAAAAAAAAUUAGAGAUGGCAGUAGGUUGCCCUUAACUGAUUAACACUUUAACAGCUUCAUGAAGUGUUCCUUGCUAAAUCUUCAUGACUGUCUCAGGUGAUGAGGGCUUCCCUGAGCAUGCAAAAGAUUUUGCUUCUGUAACAUAUUUUUAAUGCCUGAAACACGUCCUCUUUUGAACCAACCUAGGAUGAGUCAUGUUUCUCAUCUAUAUUAUUUCUAUGUUAUGAUUUUGUCCAUAUGAUUCUUCACUAAGUUACUGAUACCAUCCAGUUUCAAUUUCUCCUAAAGUUAUCAUCUUACAUAACCAUAGUAUGUUUGUCAGAACUAAAUUCUUACACUACUAUUAACUAAACUCCCAACUUUAUUUGGAUUUCAUGAGAUUUUCCACUAAGCCCUUUUUCUGUUCCAGGAUCCCAUCAGAGAUAUCACAUUAUAUUUACUCAUCAUGUCUCCUUUGUUUAUGACAAUUUUUUUGUCCUUGUUUUCAUGACUUUGGCAGGUUGCUUUUUUUUUUUUUUUUUUUCUGCUUCUGUUUGUUUUUGGCUGUGCCCAUGGCACAUAGAAGCUCCCGGGCCAGGGAUCAAACCUGCACUACACCCAAGCCUCUGCAGUGACAAUGCUGGAUCCUUAACCUGCUGUGCCACCAGGGAACUCCUGGUCACGUGUUUUAUAGCCCCUCCAUCAGUUUAGGUUGGUUUGAUGUUUUUCUCAUGAUUAGACUGGGUCAUGAGUUUAGGAAAGAAUACCACGGGGUGAGGUGCCCUUCAUUAUAUUAUUAUAUAAGGGAAUAUAUGAUAUCAACAUGACUCAUUGCUGGUAAGGUUAUAAUUGGUCAGUUAGUCAAGAUAGUGUUUCUCAAGUAUCUCCACUAUAGAGUUACUAUAUUCCCCUUCCCAAACUCUAUUCUUUGGCAGCAAAUAUUAAGUCCAGGCUACUGUCUCUGGAGAGGGUGCACUACAUAUAUUAUUUGAAGUUUCCAUAGGGAAGAUUUGUCUCUUCUCCCCGUUUGCUUGUUACUUGCUCACCUAUUUGUAUCAAUAUGAAGUGAUGUAUAUUUAUUUUACACUUUAGAUUGUGAUCCAGUGCAAUGCUACUUAUUUUAUUGCUCAAAUUCUUCUUUCCUUGGCCAUCUCCCUUUGACAUGCUUCCAUUAUUUUGGUUUUGUGUACUUCCUUGUUUUCUAGCAUUAGACCAUGUUCCAAGCUCAUCUUGUAUCUUCCUUGACCCAGCUCAAGAACUGUCCAUUUUACCAAUGAGUCAUCAUUCCUCUUACUGGAGACUGCUAUUUAGACACCAAGAUAUGGGUGCUGAAUGUAUCAGUAUGUUUUUAAAACACAGAGAGAAAAAUCAUACACAACACAAUGUCUUCUUAGACUUCUAAAAUUACCAAACAUCAAAAGAUUAGCCAUGUGUAAAGUAAUUUUGAAUUCAUCAGUUUGCAUUCUCUUGCUUGUACUAGGGAUAACUGUCACUACUUCUGUUUUCUGUGAUGAACUGUUUUAUUUCAUAGAGACCAGAGGUUAAUGGGAAGGGAAGGGAAGAGUAUGAGAACUCUGAGCCUCAGGGGAAGGGGAAGUGGAGUAACCAAGGUCUAGGAGAAAAUGUACAGUCUAUGGGAAGAGCGGGGUUGCCACCUGCAGCCUUCAUGCAUAUUUUAAUUGUUAGAUAGGGCUAGCCCUUCUCUCUUUGGUGGAGAUGUAUGCAGAAAAUUCUAGGCUAGUCCAAGGAAACUAAUCAAUUCAGGUCUUGAUUUUUAGUCUAUAUUAAAGUAUUGGUUAUUUUUCCCUAGGAUCAGGUGGCCAAAGCAAAGGAAUGUUUUAUUAUUAAAGAGCAAAUUAUCCUUAUGUUAGCUCUAACAUGUCUUCUUCAUUUUGAGCAAGUUGCUUAAUCAUCUAGCAUCCUUGGCGUCAUAGUAAAAAAACAUUUCUUGGCCUAUGACUUGAAAGACCACAUUGCAUAGUAUCCAUUAGGACAAAGCAGGCUCUGCAACUUGCAUGGUAUGUGACCUUGGGCAAGUUGUGACCCUUUUUAAAUCCCCAGAUUCCCCACCUGUUAAAAAAAAGAUGAUAAUAAUAAAAGACCUAGCUCCUAGAAUUGUUGUGGGGAUUAAAUGGGAGAAUAUUUGUAAGCAUUUAGUAUACCAGGCCUGUAGUAAACACUCAAUAAAACCCAACAGCUGUUAUUAAGUUUUUUCCCCAUUUUAGGAGUUGUAUUAUAUAAUAGAGUGUUCACUCCCUCCUGGGUGGAAGAGUUGGAAGCCUCUGGGCCUUCCAGUGGACGCUAAUGUCUUUUGCUUUUCCCUGCUGAGAGCAGCCAAGUGGCGAGUGUUGGCUUUUCCAGUAAGUCAAACACAAAACCUGACCUUUAUCCAGAAACUAUCAGCUGACCCUUUGUGAUGAGUUACUCUACAUCCAUCAAAAUAUCAUGUGACUCUGCUUAAGAAUUCAGUCCACUCUGCCAAAACAGUGCUUUCCAAGGCCCAAGAUGAGUGGGGAUUAUCUAGGAGGUUAUUUUGAGCUGCUGUAGUUCUAAUGUUUAUGUAGGUGGAGCUAUAUGGAUUUUCUCUAUUGCCAAAUAGUAACUCACUAUGGUAAUAAAUAAAGAGAAGUAUCUGUUGCUUUUUUUCCCACUGUACCCGGAAAGGUUAUUUUUGUCUAUAUGUGUUCCCUGUGUGUAUAGGUAAGCAUAUGUGUGUGUGUUACAACAUUUUAUAGCCCGCCCUUAAAAAUCUUUCCCUAUUUUUGUCUUAAGAACAGUGGCUAAUAUUUCAGCAUUCAAGUGGUAAGGGUCUGAGGGGUCUGAGAUACUUCCCUCAGGUAGAUCUGCUCCAACAAGAUUUUACACACAUUAAAUAUGCCUUCAAUCCUGAGAGCAAACUAAUUCAAAAAGUAGGUAUCCAGUCCACAUCCCAUCUGAUAGUAUUUUACUUGAAAAGGUUAGAUCCAAAGAAACAACAGCUCUCUAGCUUAGAAAAUGUCAAAUAAAUUAUAUUCCUGAACUUGCCACCUAGCAAGAGCUCAUUUUGGUAUUAUACCAAAGUUCAGCCACAUAAUCUUGAGGAAAACAAGAACUGUGAAUCCAUUCUUCACUUCUAGGAGGGCCCUAGUGGGUGUCAUUUCUGAAAACAAGGCACUUACUAUCUUCCAGGUUUUCUCUUUAAUCUAGAUGUAUACCAGACUCUAGGAGGAAAUCACUAGUUGCCUUUCAGGUUACUGACUGAAAAAAAACAUGGAGCGCCCAUUGUGGCUCAGCAGUUAAUGAACCUGACUAGCAUCUAUGAGGAUGUGGGUUCGAUCCCUGGCCUUGCUCAUUGGGUUAAGGAUCUGGUGGUGUGGUGAGCUGUGGUGUAGGUUGCAGAUGUGGCUUGGAUCCUGCAUUGCUGUGGUUCUGGUGUAGGCUGGCGGCUGCUAUGUUCCAACUGGACCCCUAGCCUGGGAAUCUCCAUAUAUCGUGAGUGCAGCCCUAAAUAGACAAAACAACAACAACAACAACAACAAAACCACACAAAAAUCAAAAACUGGCUGAAACCUGCAAAGCCAAUAUAUGUUAGAGGUCAAAAUAGUGGUUAGCCUUUGAGGACCAGUGACUGGAACAGGAUAACUGAGAGCUUCUGUGCUGAAAUGUUUUGUUUCUGGAUCUGUAUGCUGGCUAUACAGGAGUGUUUCUUUUAAGAAAAUUCAUCAAGCUGUGCCUUAAAGGUUUGUGCUUUUUACUAUAUGUAUGUCAUGCUUUGUUAAAAAGUUUAUUUUUUGUGGUACGUCUAGGUAAGGAAGUAUUACUCAGCACUAAAAGGAAAGGAGUUACCAAGCCAGGAAGAGCCAUGGAGGAAAUUUAAGUGCAUAAGACAAAGCGAAAGAAGACAAGUAGAAAAGGCUACUUACUAUAUGAUUCAAACUAUAUGACAUUCUAGAAAAGGUAAAGAAAUAAAAAAAUAAAAACUGUGGAGACCAUAAAAAGACCAGCUGUUACCAGGAGUUGGGGGGAAGAGAGGGAUGACCAAGGGGACAUAGACGGCUUUUAAAGCAGUGAAACGAUCCUGUAUGUGAAUCUAUGUCACUAUGCAUUUGUCAAAACCUAUAGACUCUACAACAGAGAGUGAUUCCUCAUGUAAAGGAGGGACUUUGGGUGAUACUGAUGAACCAGUACAGGUUCAUCUACUAAUAUAAGUACCACUCUGGUGGGAGAUGUUGAUAAUGAGAAGGUUCUGCAUGUGUAGAGACAGAAGGUACAUGGGAAAUUUCUGUACCUUCUACUCAAGUUUGUUAUGAACCUAAAAUUGCUCUAAAUAUGAAAUCUAUUUCUAAAAAAUUCAUACACACAUACACAAAAUUUCCCUUUAAAUAAGAGCCUCUUCUUUUCCUAAAUAAAAUUACCUACUUCCAUCUCCAAGACACUGGGGCCAGUGAAGAAUGAUGAUGGGAAGAGGAAAAGAGCAUGGGCUCUUGGAGUCAAAUCUCUUCCUUUUUUGGAGGGCUGGCCUAUUAGAAGUGAGCAAACGCCUUUUAAAAUAAGAAUCACGGAGUUCCCAUCGUGGCACAGUGGUUACCGAAUCCGACUAGGAACGAUGAGGUUACGGGUUCGGUCCCUGCCCUUGCUCAGUGGGUUAACGAUCCGGCGUUGCCGUGAGCUGUGGUGUAGGUCACAGACGCAGCUCGGAUCCCACAUUGCUAUGGCUCUGGCGUAGACUGGCAGCUACAGCUCUGAUUCAACCCCUAGCCUGGGAACCUCCAUAUGCCACGGGAGCGGCCCAAGAAAUGGCAAAAAGACAAAAAAAUAAAGUAAAAAAUAAAAAAAAUAAAAUAAAGUAAGAAUCACUUUACUGGAGUUCCCAUCAUGGCUCAGUGGAAACGAAUCAGACUGGUAUCCAUGAGGACACGGGUUGGAUCCCUGGCCUUGCUCAGUGGGUUAAAGGAUCUGGUGUUGCUGUGAGCUGUGGUGUAGGUUGCAGAUGUGGCUCGAAUUUGGCAUUGCUGUGGCUGUGAUGUAGACCAGAGGCUAUGGCUCCAAUUCAACCCCUAACCUGGGAAC